rnacentral:lncRNA from 1 species
GACCUUUGCCACUAAGCCUCCUAGGCUGAGUUCAAUCGCUGGGACCUGCAUGCUGGAAGGAGAGAAGCAACUUUUAAGGCUUGUCCUCUGACCUCCAUGCAUGUGGACAGUCAUGCCCCCCUCCAUCAAUAAGGAAAUAAAGAUAAUAAUAAUAAUAAUAAUAAACCACAACAUACUGCACAGCCAGCCAGGUAUGGAGGCACAUAUUUUAAAUCCCAGGACUAAAGAGGCAGAGACAGAAGGAUCUAACUUUGAGGCCAGCCUGGUCUACAGAGCGAGUUCUAGGAUAGACAAGACUACAUAGACAGGCCCCAUCUCAAAAAAAAAAAAAAAAAACCCGAAGCAAACCAAAAACAUACAUCUUGUAGAUAUGUAUCAGUAUUUGGCAGUAUAGAUAGGUAAAAAAAAAACCAAAAAGCAAAAAUUAAAAAAAAACUUUUUAAGAGGGAACAUUAUUCCUGGUUUAUAAUUCCUUUAGUUUUUCAAACCUGUCUCACCAAGGUUAGCUGGUUAGAAAUGCAUUUUUGUUCUGCCAAGCUAGGUGCUAUACUUUAUAGUCAAGGAAGUCAGUUCUGGGAACUUGCCUCUGCGGUCUUUACCCCAGUGAUACAUUGUGUCCCCUCUUAGCAUCUUCUGAGCUCUUUCACUGCUGCUCUGCUCCCAGGCCUAUUAAUAGUUCUGCUAAUCUGCUGAUCCCCGCCUGUCCCCAGGACACCAUCUGCUACUCGGUUCUCAGGUGUAUCUAAUAGUUAAUAAGAUAACUUACAAAAACUUCCACUUUUAGACUAUAUAUUGUUUAUAUAUGUACAAGCUUUAAGUCUAAGCUUACGUUAGAGUUUUUAAAUAAGAUAUAGGAAGGAUGUUAUGACCUUGAGUUUUGAGACCUAGCCUUAAAAAAUGUAAUAAUAGUGCCAUGCUCAUGACUUUAAUCCCAGUACUCUGGAGCCAGAGGCAGGUAGAUCUCUGUGCGGUGGUCUACAGAGGAAGUCCUAGGUCAGCCAGGGAAAUGCAGAGAAACCCUGUCUUGAAAAACAAACAACAAAAACCAAACAAAUAAAACAAAAACAGUAAUAGUAAUCUGAUAAAAUAUAAGCAAUGAUGUCUUUUUCUAUCAAAGUCUAAAAUGGUUCAGGAACUAAAGUGCUCUAAAGGUGUUGUCUUAAUAGGGUUUUUUUUCCUUGAGGGUGGGGCAAAGUCUUAGUAGCCAUGGCUGGAAACUCUGUUUUGUAUAUCAUUCUAGCUGCUGCUAGUUUAGGAAAUAUUUAGAUUAUUAAAUGACUCUGCGUGUGUGUGUGUGUGUGUGUCUGUCUGUCUGUCUGUCUUUCUUAGUGUAAGUGUGUGUAUAUAUGUAUGCACAUAUGUAUCUGGAGGCGGGAGUGGACACUGGGUGUUUUCUCAAUUGUGUUCUACCUUAGUUUUUGAAACAGAGUCUCACUAAACCUGAAGUUUGCCAAUUGUCUGCACUGGCUAGCCAAGGAUCUCCUGUCUCUGUCUUCCCAGCACUGGAAUUACAGGCUCCGGUUCCAGUGGCCAGCUUUUACAUGGGUGCUGGGGAUUGAACUCAGGACCUCAUGCUUUCCCAACAGGACAGCAGAAUAUAACAAUGUAAUCUUUAUAGUCCACUUGAUAGCCUCACAAAAGAAGCUUUAGCCAGUACUCUCUAGUUGACUUAUUUUUCUCAUUUUUUUCUAAUCUUGUUAAAACUAUCUGAAUGUAUCAAGUAGCUCUCCCAGAGAGAUCAUUUAAAACUAAACAAAGCAAAAGUUAAGAAAGGUAUUUCCUUUUAAAGACAUUUUUAAUCUAUUUUUUUCUUAAGAAUUUUUCUUUUGGGGGCUGGAGAGGUAGCUGAGAGGUUAAGAGCACGUAUUACUCCUGUAUAGGACCAGAGCUCAGUUCCCAGGUCCCUCUGUAGUGUCUCACAGCUGCCUGUAACUCUGCGCCAGGGGAUCCAGCACCCACACUCACAUGCAUAUGCCUGCACACAGACAAAUAUACAAGU